AGAGUUUGAUCCUGGCUCAGAACGAACGCUGGCGGCAGGCUUAACACAUGCAAGUCGAACGACAUAGUGGCAGACGGGUGAGUAACGCGUGGGAACGUGCCCUUCACUACGGAAUAGCUUCUGGAAACGGAAGGUAAUACCGUAUACGCCCUUCGGGGGAAAGAUUUAUCGGUGAAGGAUCGGCCCGCGUUAGAUUAGAUAGUUGGUGGGGUAAUGGCCUACCAAGUCUACGAUCUAUAGCUGGUCUGAGAGGAUGAUCAGCCACACUGGGACUGAGACACGGCCCAGACUCCUACGGGAGGCAGCAGUGGGGAAUCUUGCACAAUGGGCGAAAGCCUGAUGCAGCCAUGCCGCGUGAAUGAUGAAGGCCUUAGGGUUGUAAAAUUCUUUCGCCAGGGAUGAUAAUGACAGUACCUGGUAAAGAAGCCCCGGCUAACUUCGUGCCAGCAGCCGCGGUAAUACGAAGGGGGCUAGCGUUGUUCGGAAUUACUGGGCGUAAAGCGCGCGUAGGCGGGCUGUUAAGUCAGAUGUGAAAGCCCGGGGCUCAACCCCGGAACUGCAUUUGAAACUGGCAGCCUAGAGACCAGGAGAGGUUAGCGGAAUACCGAGUGUAGAGGUGAAAUUCGUAGAUAUUCGGUGGAACACCAGUGGCGAAGGCGGCUAACUGGACUGGUACUGACGCUGAGGCGCGAAAGUGUGGGGAGCAAACAGGAUUAGAUACCCUGGUAGUCCACACCGUAAACGAUGAAUGCUAGUUGUCUGCGCGCAUGCGUGCAGGUGACGCAGCUAACGCAUUAAGCA
rnacentral:rRNA from 1 species